UACCUGGUUGAUUCUGCCAGUAGUCAUAUGCUUGUCUCAAAAAUUAAGCCAUGCAUGUCUAAGUACAUGCCGUAUUAAGGCGAAACCGCGAAUGGCUCAUUAAAUCAGUUACGGUUCCUUAGAUAUUGACUGUCUACAUGGAUAACUGUGGUAAUUCUAGAGCUAAUACAUGCCCAAAAACUUCGACCGGAGACGGGAGAAGUGCAUUUAUUAGACCAAGACCAAUGGGGUUCCCUUGUGGGGCUCCUAACGGUGGUGACUCUGGAUAACUGUUGCUAAUCGUAUGGCCUUAGUGCCGGCGAUGAAUCUUUCAAGUGUCUGCCUUAUCAACUGUCGAUGGUAGGUUAUGCGCCUACCAUGGUUGUAACGGGUAACGGGGAAUCAGGGUUCGGUUCCGGAGAGCGAGCCUGAGAAACGGCUAGCACAUCCAAGGAAGGCAGCAGGCGUGCAAAUUACCCAAUCCCAGAACGGGGAGGUAGUGACGAAAAAUAACAAUACGAGACUCUUAUGAGGCCUCGUAAUUGGAAUGAGAACAAUGUAAAACUCUUAACGAGGAUCUAUUGGAGGGCAAGUCUGGUGCCAGCAGCCGCGGUAAUUCCAGCUCCAAUAGCGUAUAUUAAAGUUGUUGUGGUUAAAAAGCUCGUAGUUGGAUCUCAGUUCCUAGUCAGACGGUCCACUUGCCAGUGGCUACUGUUUGGCUGAACACUUUACCGACCUUGUCCUAUGGUGCUCUUCACCGAGUGUCAUAGGCGAUCGGUACGUUUACUUUGAAAAAAUUAGAGUGCUCAAAGCAGGCGUCAGUGCCCGAAUAAUGUUGCAUGGAAUAAUGGAAUAGGACCUCGGUUCUAUUUUGUUGGUCUUCGGAGCAUGAGGUAAUGAUCAAUAGGGACAGACGGGGACAUUCGUAUUGCGGAGCUAGAGGUGAAAUUCUUGGACCUUCGCAAGACGAACUAAAGCGAAAGCAUUUGUCAAGAAUGUUUUCAUUAAUCAAGAACGAAAGUUAGAGGUUCGAAGGCGAUCAGAUACCGCCCUAGUUCUAACCAUAAACGAUGCCGACCAGUAAUUCGCCUGAGUUCUCUAAAUGACUCGGCGAGGGACUUCCGGGAAACCAAAGUCUUUCGGUUCCAGGGGAAGUAUGGUUGCAAAGCUGAAACUUAAAGAAAUUGACGGAAGGGCACCACCAGGAGUGGAGCCUGCGGCUUAAUUUGACUCAACACGGGAAAACUCACCCGGCCCGGACACUGGAAGGAUUGACAGAUUGAGAGCUCUUUCUUGAUUCAGUGGGUGGUGGUGCAUGGCCGUUCUUAGUUGGUGGAGUGAUUUGUCUGGUUAAUUCCGAUAACGAACGAGACUCUAGCCUACUAAAUAGAUUGCCGACUUAUAACGUCGACAACACUUCUUAGAGGGACAGGCGGUGUUUCAACCGCACGAAACAGAGCAAUAACAGGUCUGUGAUGCCCUUAGAUGUCCGGGGCCGCACGCGCGCUACACUGAAGUGAUCAGCGUGCAUUCAAAAACCUACUCUGUCAAGAGUGGGGAACCCAAUGAACCUUCUUCGUGAUUGGGAUAGGGGAUUGUAAUUAUUCCCCUUGAACGAGGAAUUCCCAGUAAGCGCGAGUCAUUAGCUCGCGUUGAUUACGUCCCUGCCCUUUGUACACACCGCCCGUCGCUACUACCGAUUGAAUGUUUUAGUGAGGUCUUCGGACUGGCCGGUGCAGCUGCUCUUGUAGUGGCAGCGCUGUGCUCGGAAAGAUGCCCAAACUUGAACAUUUAGAGGAAGUAAAAGUCGUAACAAGGUUUCCGUAGGUGAACCUGCGGAAGGAUCAUUA